GGGGAUAUAGCUCAGUUGGUAGAGUGCUUGCCUCACAUGUGCAAGGCCCUGGGUUCAAUCCCCAGCACCCCCC
rnacentral:tRNA from 1 species